GACGAACGCUGGCGGCGUGCCUAAUACAUGCAAGUAGAACGCUGAAGGAGGAGCUUGCUCUUCUGGAUGAGUUGCGAACGGGUGAGUAACGCGUAGAUAACCUGCCUGGUAGCGGGGGAUAACUAUUGGAAACGAUAGCUAAUACCGCAUAACAGUAGAUGUUGCAUGACAUUUACUUAAAAGGUGCAAUUGCAUCACUACCAGAUGGACCUGCGUUGUAUUAGCUAGUUGGUGGGGUAACGGCUCACCAAGGCGACGAUACAUAGCCGACCUGAGAGGGUGAUCGGCCACACUGGGACUGAGACACGGCCCAGACUCCUACGGGAGGCAGCAGUAGGGAAUCUUCGGCAAUGGACGGAAGUCUGACCGAGCAACGCCGCGUGAGUGAAGAAGGUUUUCGGAUCGUAAAGCUCUGUUGUAAGAGAAGAACGAGUGUGAGAGUGGAAAGUUCACACUGUGACGGUAUCUUACCAGAAAGGGACGGCUAACUACGUG
rnacentral:rRNA from 1 species